rnacentral:rRNA from 1 species
CGUGCUUAACACAUGCAAGUCAAGGGGAAAGUUUUGCUUCGGCGGAAUGAGUAUACUGGCGGACGGGUGAGUAACGCGUAGGCGACCUACCCAUGAGAGAGGGAUAACCCAGCGAAAGUUGGACUAAUACCUUAUAAAACUAAUUUGUUGCAUGACAGAUUAGUCAAAGGGUGCCAAUUUAUUGGUAUUGCUUAUGGAUGGGCCUGCGUUCCAUUAGUUAGUUGGUAGGGUAACGGCUUACCAAGGCGACGAUGGAUAGCUGGUUUGAGAGAGCGAUCAGCCACACUGGGACUGAGAUACGGCCCAGACUCCUACGGGAGGCAGCAGUGAGGAAUAUUGCGCAAUGGGCGAAAGCCUGACGCAGCAACGCCGCGUGGGGGAUGAAGCUUUAUGGAGUGUAAACCCCUGUAAGUAGGGACGAAAGUUACCUAUACAAAUAGGAUGGGUAUUUGACGGUACCUACAGAGUAAGCUCCGGCUAACUCCGUG